AUGCGUGUGUGUGGAGUUGGCGUGUUCUCUUCAUGUGUGUGUGUGUGUGUGGAGCUGACAUGUUCUCAUGCUUGUGUGGAGUUGGCAUGUUCUCAUGCGUGUGUGGAGUUGGCGUGUUCUCAUGCGUGUGUGGAGUUGGUGUGUUCUCAUGCGUGUGUGGAGUUGGCGUGUUCUCCUCAUGCGCGUGUGGAGUUGAUGUGUUCUUCUCAUGCGCGUGUGGAGUCGAUGUGUUCUCCUCACACGUGUGUGGAGUUGGCUUGUUCUCCUCAUGCGUGUGUGGAGUUGACGUGUUCUCAUGCGUGUGUGUGGAGUUGGCGUGUUCUCCUCAUGUGUGUGUGGAGUUGGCGUGUUCUCAUGCCUGUGUGGAGUUGGUGUGUUCUCCUCGUGCACUUGUGUGGAGUUGGUGUGUUCUUCUCAUGCAUGUGUGUAGCUGGCGUGCUCUCAUGCGUGCGUGGAGUUGGCAUGUUCUCCUCAUGUGUGUGUGUGGUGUUGGCGUGUUCUCAUGCGUGUGUGGAGUUGGAGUGUUCUCAUGAGUGUGAUGUUGGCAUGUUCUCAUGCGUGUGUGGAGUUGGCAUGUUCUCUUCAUGUGUGUGUGUGGAGCUGGCGUGUUCUCAUGUGUGUGUGGAGCUGGCGUGUUCUCAUGCGUGUAUGUGGAGCUGGCAUGUUCUCUUCAUGCGUGUGCGUGUUGAGCUGGCGUAUUCUCCUCAUGCGUGUGUGUGGAGCUGGCGUGUUCUCAUGCGUGUGUGUGGAGCUGGUGUGUUCUCUUCAUGCGUAUGCAUGUGGAGUUGGUGUGUUCUCAUGUGUGUGUGGAGUUGGCGUGUUCUCCUCAUAAGCAUGUGUGUGUGGAGCUGGUGUGUUCUCUUCAUGCGUGUGCAUGUGGAGUUGGUGUGUUCUCAUGUGUGUGUGGAGCUGGCAUGUUCUCAUGCAUGUGUGGAGCUGGCGUGUUCUCGUGUGUGUGUGGAGCUGGCAUGUUCUCAUGUUGGCGUGUUCUCCUCAUGCGUGUGUGUGGAGCUGGCAUGUUCUCAUGCAUGUGUGUGGAGCUGGCGUGUUCUCUUUGUGCGUGUGUGUGGAGCUGGCGUGUUCUCAUGCAUGUGUGUGGAGCUGGCAUGUUCUCAUCUAUGUGUGUGGAGUUGGCGUGUUCUCUUCAUGUGUGUGUGGAGCUGGCGUGUUCUCAUGCGUGUGUGGAGCUGGCGUGUUCUCAUUCAUGUGUGGAGUUGGAGUGUUCUCAUGCAUGUGUGGAGCUGGCGUGUUCUCCUCAUGCAUGCAUGGAGCUGGCUUGCUUUCCUCAUGCAUGUGUGGAGUUUGUCAGCAACUUUGUUUUGCUGA
rnacentral:lncRNA from 1 species